rnacentral:miRNA from 1 species
UUCUCCAGUAGUUCCUGAGUGCU